UACGAAGGGAGCUAGCGUUGUUCGGAAUCACUGGGCGUAAAGCGCACGUAGGCGGAUGUGUCAGUCAGGGGUGAAAUCCCGGAGCUCAACUUCGGAACUGCCUCUGAUACAGCACGUCUUGAGUCCGAUAGAGGUGGGUGGAAUUCCUAGUGUAGAGGUGAAAAUUCGUAGAUAUUAGGAAGAACACCGGUGGCGAAGGCGGCCCACUGGAUCGGUACUGACGCUGAGACGCGAAAGCGUGGGGAGCGAACAGG
rnacentral:rRNA from 1 species